rnacentral:rRNA from 1 species
UGAGCAAUCUGCCCUUCACAUCGGAAUAACCAUUGGAAACGAUGGCUAAUACCGAAUAUGACUUCGGAUCGCAUGAUCUGAAGUGGAAAGCUCCGGCGGUGAAGGAUGAGCUCGCGGCCUAUCAGCUUGUUGGUGAGGUAAUGGCUCACCAAGGCUACGACGGGUAGGGACCUGAGAGGGUGACCGGCCACACUGGGACUGAGACACGGCCCAGAUCCGUACGGG